CAUGUGACAGGAAGUGUUCAGUAACAAUCCUAAUAGCAGAGUCCGGAAUCUUCUCUGCACACUUGUCUAUACCCCUGAUGGCUGUGGAAUAGGAGGACAUAGGGUCAAAGGUGGAAAGGUGAAGGAUUCUAUAAGGUGUCAGGAUGUCACUGUCUAUUUCUCCAUGGAGGAGUGGGAGUAUUUAUUAGGACACAAGGAUCUGUACAAGGAUCAGGUCAUGAUGGAGGAUCACCAGUCCCUCACAUCACCAGGUAAGAGGAGAGAGCAGGUUUGUGGAUCUCCUAGAUUCCCCCAUCAUCUGAUCAUCACAUAUAACAAUGGAUUCAGUCACUGUGUUUAUUUCCUAUAGAUGGAUCCAGUAGUAUAAAUCCCCCAGAGAGAUGUCCCCGUCCUCUAUAUCCCCAGGAUUGUAAAGAGGAAGAGGAGGAUAUCCCACUGGACCAUCAGGUAGAUGAAGAUAUCUACAAAUCCCCUAUAGAUGAAUAUAAUGAAGCUUCUACUAAUCUCCCCCAGCAGUGCAGUAAAUCCUCUAUAUCAUCUGGUGUCGGUUCUGGUCGGUUGUGGAUAUAAAUUGUUUCUGGGUCCAUAAAAUAUUGUGGUCCUUAAUGUUGGAUCCGUGCAGGAAAGUUCUGGAGGAACGAGGAGAGAACUGGAGGAACCCCGAUCAGUGUCAGAGAAUGGUGAGAGUAUAAAUCCACCCGAGAGGUGUCCCCAUCCUCUAUAUCCCCCGGACUGUAAAGAGGAAGAGGAGGAUAUCCCACUGGACCAUCAGGUACACAAGGAUCUGUACAAGGAUCAGGUCAUGAUGGAGGAUCACCAGUCCCUCACAUCACCAGGUAAGAGGAGAGAGCAGGUUUGUGGAUCUCCUAGAUUCCCCCAUCAUCUGAUCAUCACAUAUAACAAUGGAUUCAGUCACUGUGUUUAUUUCCUAUAGAUGGAUCCAGUAGUAUAAAUCCCCCAGAGAGAUGUCCCCGUCCUCUAUAUCCCCAGGACUGUAAAGAGGAAGAGGAGGAUAUCCCACUGGACCAUCAGGUAGAUGAAGAUAUCUACAAAUCCCCUAUAGAUGAAUAUAAUGAAGCUUCUACUAAUCUCCUCCAGCAGUGCAGUAUAUCCUCUAUAUCAUCUGGUGUCGGUUCUGGUCGGUUGUGGAUAUAAAUUGUUUCUGGGUCCAUAAAAUAUUGUGGUCCUUAAUGUUGGAUCCGUGCAGGAAAGUUCUGGAGGAACGAGGAGAGAACUGGAGGAACCCCGAUCAGUGUCAGAGAAUGGUGAGAGUAUAAAUCCACCCGAGAGGUGUCCCCAUCCUCUAUAUCCCCCGGACUGUAAAGAGGAAGAGGAGGAUAUCCCACUGGACCAUCAGGUACACAAGGAUCUGUACAAGGAUCAGGUCAUGAUGGAGGAUCACCAGUCCCUCACAUCACCAGGUAAGAGGAGAGAGCAGGUUUGUGGAUCUCCUAGAUUCCCCCAUCAUCUGAUCAUCACAUAUAACAAUGGAUUCAGUCACUGUGUUUAUUUCCUAUAGAUGGAUCCAGUAGUAUAAAUCCCCCCGAGAGGUGUCCCCGUCCUCUAUAUCCCCAGGA